AAGCGCCGUAUACGGAACCGUACGUACGGUGCUGUGGGAGGUCGGUAGAUAAAAUAAUUAUCUACCUCCUACCCGAU
rnacentral:ncRNA from 1 species